rnacentral:rRNA from 1 species
AAACUAACAAGGAUUCCCCUAGUAGCGGCGAGCGAAGCGGGAAGAGCUCAAAUUUAUAAUCUGGCGCUUUCGGCGUCCGAGUUGUAAUCUCUAGAAGUGUUUUCCGCGUUGGACCGCACAUAAGUCUGUUGGAAUACAGCGGCACAGUGGUGAGACCCCCGUUCACGGUGCGGAUGCCCAAUGCUUUGUGAUACACUUUCGAAGAGUCGAGUUGUUUGGGAAUGCAGCUCAAAUUGGGUGGUAAAUUCCAUCUAAAGCUAAAUAUUGGCGAGAGACCGAUAGCGAACAAGUACCGUGAGGGAAAGAUGAAAAGCACUUUGGAAAGAGAGUUAACAGUACGUGAAAUUGUUGGAAGGGAAACGCUUGAAGUCAGACUUGCUAUUCGGGGCUUGCUCCGAGUUGCAGGCCAGCAUCAGUUUUUCGGGGCGGAAAAUCACGGAUUGAAGGUAGCAGUUU